rnacentral:rRNA from 1 species
CGAAAAAUAAACGCAAGUAUUUCCGAGUCUCCCUCCCCCGAUGCCGCCCAUCUCCCUCCUCCCCCUCCUCCUCCUCCUCGCCGGCGCCGCAGCCCCCGACCCCGAAUCCCCCGCCGGGGAAGAACAAGACCAUCUACGAGCUCCUCCCGCUCUUCGGCCUCCCCGCGGGGGUCUUCCCUCCCAACGUCACCGCCUUCUCGCUCGCCGGCAACGGCAGCCUCGCCGUCGACCUCGCGGGGCCCUGCUACGUCCACUUCGAGUACCUCACCUACUUCGAGCCGCGCGUCACGGGCGUGCUCCGCUACGGCUCCCUCACCGAGCUGGAGGGCGUGCAGGUCCGCCGCUUCCUCGUCUGGUUCAGCGUCGUCCGCGUCAAGGUCGACCUGCCCCCGCCCCCGCGCUUCGUCUACCUCGACAUCGGCUGGAUCACCCGCAAGCUCCCCGCCGCCGACUUCCAGUCCGUCCACGCCUGCGAGGCCGGCAAGCGGAGGAGGAGGUGCCGCCUCUCCUCCGCGCUCGCCGCCGCCGCCGCUUGGUUACAGGACUUCUUUGCCCAAUUUUAGGGGAUGCAGAAGGUCUAAUUUUGUGGCAGCAUCACACGAGCUUACAGCCCUCCGCGUCCUAAAGGAAUUGGAGCACUACACUCCCAUUUGUUGAUUGUUACACAUGGUGUAUGUCUACGGGUACUCGACGCUGCUGUCUGAGCUCUACAUUUGUUCGAGAGACGCACUAUCUUUAAGAAAGAUUUGUAGUGGUUAUUUUAGUCCAAACUGAUGAUGUGCUCCUCGCUUCAAUACAAUAGCACUUCUGUAGUAGCAUGUAACAUCAUUUUGUUGCAACUUUAAAAAGUCUCCAGAGAAGUUUCCUCCUUGUGUGUCAAUAGCAGCAACCAUUCUGCUGCGCAACAAGCGAACCUGUCUGUAUAAAACUCAAGAACCAAGUCCUGAGAUUCUCAGCAGGAACACAUUUUGUGCUCGGAAACUAAAAACAGAACAAGC